rnacentral:rRNA from 1 species
AUUCCAGCUCCAAUAGCGUAUAUUAAAGUUGUUGCGGUUAAAAAGCUCGUAGUUGGAGUUCUGCCAGGUGCCGCCUGUCCGCCCCAGUGGUGAGUACGUGGCGCGCAUUUGGCCCUUUCAAGGGGAGCGUAUUGCACUUAACUGUGUGGUGCGGGAUCCUUGACUUUUACUUUGAGGAAAUAAGAGUGUUCCAAGCAGGCUCUCGUCGUGCAUAGCUCAGCAUGGAAUAAUAGCAUUGGAUCUCGAUUCCAAACUGUUGGUUGUAGGAAACGAGAUAAUGAUGAAGAGGGAUAGUUGGGGGCAUUCGUAUUUAACUGUCAGAGGUGAAAUUCUUGGAUUUGUUAAAGACGAACUACUGCGAAAGCAUCUGCCAUGGAUGUUUUCAUUA